CAUCCAAAACUUUCCAUACAGGUUUAAAGACAAAACCAACCGGCCACAGAAAAUACAAGAAAGGUUUAAAACAACUGGCUCAAUUGGAGGUUUUCUUCUGGUUGAACCUGAAGAUUUGAACCACUACGAACCAUUAUAUUGCUACACCAUUCAAGGAAGACAGCUGGUCACAGCAAAAGCCUUUUUGCUUCAUUAAGAAUGUUGCUCAGAGUUGUUUUGGCACCAGAUGACAUCAGGAG